CCGCCACCGUGGACGCGCCGCUGGAGGACAAGGACAGCGUGCUUGCUGUGUACCUGGACCCAGCGCUGCUAGCAGGGCGGAGGGAAGAAGCUUUGGCCGCAAUAUCGGCGGCCAUCGCUGACGCUCCCAUGACGCUGGGAUCAGUGAGGACCAGGCUGGUGACUUCGCUAGGAGAUGUGAUGCCCGGCAACUCGCUUGUCAUGCCGACACCGGGGUCUGGCAACA